rnacentral:rRNA from 1 species
GGAAUAUUGGUCAAUGGCCGAGAGGCUGAACCAGCCAUGCCGCGUGCGGGAUGACGGCCCUAUGGGUUGUAAACCGCUUUUGUUGGGGAGCAAUAAGGGCCACGUGUGACCCGAUGAGAGUACCCAGCGAAUAAGCAUCGGCUAACUCCGUGCCAGCAGCCGCGGUAAUACGGAGGAUGCAAGCGUUAUCCGGAUUUAUUGGGUUUAAAGGGUGCGUAGGCGGAUGAUUAAGCGUGAGGUGAAAGCUCGGGGCUCAACCCCGGAACUGCCUCGCGAACUGGUUGUCUUGAAUGUCCGUGCCGUGGGAGGAAUGUGUGGUGUAGCGGUGAAAUGCAUAGAGAUCACACAGAACACCGAUUGCGAAGGCAUCUCACGAACGGAUGAUUGACGCUGAGGCACGAAAGCGUGGGGAUCAAACA